GACGAACGCUGGCGGCGUGCCUAAUACAUGCAAGUAGAACGCACAGUUUAUACCGUAGCUUGCUGCACCAUAGACGGUGAGUUGCGAACGGGUGAGUAACGCGUAGGUAACCUGCCUGGUAGCGGGGGAUAACUAUGGGAAAUGAUAGCUAAUACCGCAUAAUAUUAAUUAUUGCAUGAUAAUUAAUGGAAAGGUGCAAUUGAACCACUACCAGAUGGACCUGCGUUGUAUUAGCUAGUAGGUGAGGUAACGGCUCACCUAGGCGACGAUACAUAGCCGACCAGAGAGGGUGAUCGGCCACGCUGGGACGGGGACACGGCCCAGACUCCUACGGGAGGCAGCAGUAGGGAAUCCUCGGCGAUGGACGGAAGUCUGACCGAGCAACGCCGCGUGAGUGAAGAAGGAUUUCGGAUCGUAAAGCUCUGUUGUAAGAGAAGAACGGGUGUGAGAGUGGAAAGUUCACACUGUGACGGUAUCUUACCAGAAAGGGACGGCUAACUACGUG
rnacentral:rRNA from 1 species